rnacentral:rRNA from 1 species
UUGACCUCGGAUCAGGUAGGGAUACCCGCUGAACUUAAGCAUAUCAAUAAGCGGAGGAAAAGAAACCAACAGGGAUUGCCUCAUUAACGGCGAGUGAAGC